UACGUAGGUGGCAAGCGUUGUCCGGAAUUAUUGGGCGUAAAGCGCGCGCAGGCGGCCUUUUAAGUCUGAUGUGAAAGCCCACGGCUCAACCGUGGAAGGUCAUUGGAAACUGAAAGGCUUGAGUACAGAAGAGGAAAGCGGAAUUCCACGUGUAGCGGUGAAAUGCGUAGAGAUGUGGAGGAACACCAGUGGCGAAGGCGACUACCUGGCCUGUUCUUGACGCUGAGGCGCGAAAGCUAGGGGAGCAAACGGG
rnacentral:rRNA from 1 species